UGGCUUGUAGCUCAGCUGGUUAGAGCGUCCCGAUGCAAUCGGGAAGGUUAGGAGUUCGAGCCUCCUAAGGUCCA
rnacentral:tRNA from 1 species